UACGUAGGUGACAAGCGUUGUUCGGAAUUACUGGGCGUAAAGGGCGCGUAGGCGGCCUUCUAAGUCGAACGUGAAAUCCCCGGGCUCAACCCGGGAACUGCGUCCGAUACUGGAAGGCUUGAAUCCGGGAGAGGGAUGUGGAAUUCCAGGUGUAGCGGUGAAAUGCGUAGAUAUCUGGAGGAACACCGGUGGCGAAGGCGACAUCCUGGACCGGUAUUGACGCUGAGGCGCGAAAGCCAGGGGAGCAAACGGG
rnacentral:rRNA from 1 species